AGACGGUGGAUAGAUUGAUUGAAACUGGAGACAGUGAGCAUAUUUUUCAGAAAGUAAUCAUGGAGCAAGUAAGAGGGCAGGUAAUAAAUAUUGGAUACUGGCUGAGAUUCAGGAGCGGCAUGGCGCUUUCAGAGGCUUAGAGAACAAACUCCUCUACAUUGUAGCUUAAAAUGCUGAAUCUGAAAGUGUCAAACAAGAUGCUGAAUUAGAAAAUGCAUUUGAAAUCGUCCAGGUGCUUGCUAAGAUUCAGAAGAGGUGAAAGAGUCUCAAAGCGAGUCGAAAGCUAACUAUGUCUACAUAUGUGUUCUUAGAAAACCUUGAACCGUUUGCAUGGAAUGAUAUUGUUUAAUGAACAUUAGUAUCGAAAGAUUUUAUUUGCGCAUCUAUGUAUUAGACGUUCCCAGGAACUAACAUUUCAUAUCGAGCCAAUCGCUUGCCAAAGGUUUUGCUACCAACUUUACAGAAUUAGCCAUUCUUUUUUUUUUUUUUGACAGACAGAAUUAGCCAUUCAAAUAGGACAUAAAUAAGUGAUGAUUUUUGUUUCUGAAAGGAAUGGUCUAUGAGCAUCAUGAAAAGUCCAUGCUACGUUUAGGACAAACAAUUACGUUGUUGAAUACAAGUUUGAUCUGCAAAACUUCAAUUAAUUAUUUGUUUACCUGGUAACAGCCCACGUAGAGCAUCACUGCAACCACAUCAACUACUACUGUGGCGCUGAAACGAUGUAGUCUGACCCCAACCGGAAUAGUGAGCCAACCUUUUCGACCUUAAAAUUUACAAGUGAAGAAAUUGGGACCAUUGAGUUCUCUAUGUCAUUGAGCUCAAUAUAUAGCAAGCUUGAUGUAAAUGUACUGUACUUUUCUUGCAGUAGAUGUAGAGGUGACUCACUUAUAUCGACUAGAGAGAAGACAAGGGUAGCCACAUUAGAGGACAUACCAUCUCACUAGCACCCCUAAAAGGUCAAGAAAUCUGAAAUCCAUCAAUAGACCAAAGAGAACAAGAGAUGAGUGGGAAACAAAGAGUAGAGAAGCCUGAAGUUGCAGAUGGUGGAGAAAAGAAUGAUGAAAAGGAAAUAUUCAAGUGGACUUACUCAUAAGUAGAAAGUAGAAAUACGUCCCCUUUUGUGAUCUUCGUCUGACUCUAGAGGUCAAAGGUCCUAUCGAAGUAGCGGAAACUGACAAGGAUAAUGUGAAAUCUGAGUUGAGGUUGGUCUCAUCUUCUACAUGUCUCUGUGUUUAUGAUGUUCUCAUGUAUCUUACGCCAUUCUUACAUAUAUGUAAUACGUUUUUUUAAUU